rnacentral:rRNA from 1 species
GACGAACGCUGGCGGCGUGCUUAACACAUGCAAGUCGAACGGAAAGGCCCUGCUUUUGUGGGGUGCUCGAGUGGCGAACGGGUGAGUAACACGUGAGUAACCUGCCCUUGACUUUGGGAUAACUUCAGGAAACUGGGGCUAAUACCGGAUAGGAGCUCCUGCUGCAUGGUGGGGGUGGGAAAGUUUCGGCGGUUGGGGAUGGACUCGCGGCUUAUCAGCUUGUUGGUGGGGUAGUGGCUUACCAAGGCUUUGACGGGUAGCCGGCCUGAGAGGGUGACCGGCCACAUUGGGACUGAGAUACGGCCCAGACUCAUACGGGAGGCAGCAGUGGGGAAUAUUGCACAAUGGGCGGAGGCCUGAUGCAGCAACGCCGCGUGCUGGAUGACGGCCUUCGGGUUGUAAACCGCUUUCGCCUGUGACGAAGCGUGAGUGACGGUAAUGGGUAAAGAAGCACCGGCUAACUACGUG